CUCGGUAUGGUAUAGCGGCUAGCAUGUCUGGUUUUCACCCAGAAGACCCGGGUUCGAUUCCCGGUACCGAGG
rnacentral:tRNA from 1 species